GACGAACGCUGGCGGCGUGCUUAACACAUGCAAGUCGAACGGAAAGGCCCUGCUUUUGUGGGGUGCUCGAGUGGCGAACGGGUGAGUAACACGUGAGUAACCUGCCCUUGACUUUGGGAUAACUUCAGGAAACUGGGGCUAAUACCGGAUAGGAGCUCCUGCUGCAUGGUGGGGGUUGGAAAGUUUCGGCGGUUGGGGAUGGACUCGCGGCUUAUCAGCUUGUUGGUGGGGUAGUGGCUUACCAAGGCUUUGACGGGUAGCCGGCCUGAGAGGGUGACCGGCCACAUUGGGACUGAGAUACGGCCCAGACUCCUACGGGAGGCAGCAGUGGGGAAUAUUGCAAAAUGGGCGGAAGCCUGAUGCAGCAACGCCGCGUGCGGGAUGACGGCCUUCGGGUUGUAAACCGCUUUCGCCUGUGACGAAGCGUGAGUGACGGUAAUGGGUAAAGAAGCAACGGCUAACUACGUG
rnacentral:rRNA from 1 species